UACGUAGGCAGCGAGCGUUGUUCGGAGUUACUGGGCGUAAAGAGUGCGUAGGCGGUUUUCUAAGUUUGGUGUGAAAUCUCCCGGCUUAACUGGGAGGGUGCGCCGAAAACUGGAAGGCUUGAGUAUGGGAGAGGUAAGCGGAAUUCCUGGUGUAGUGGUGAUAUGCGUAGAUAUCGGGAGGAACACCAAUGGCGAAGGCAGCACUCUGGGACGGUACUGACGCUGAGACGCGAAAGCGUGGGGAGCAAACAGG
rnacentral:rRNA from 1 species